UGGUAGUUUUCCCUUGUGCAUUGUAGUUGCAUUGCACUGUUGCAUUGUGGGUAAUGUGACAACAAUACAACCGGGAUUUCUGCACAGUCAUCAUAAAUUUG
ensembl:miRNA cin-mir-33 cin-mir-33